AUCAGCACAGGUAGCCAAUAGACACACACGUCCCAGCCCAGUUUGUAAGCUUUCUGUCCUGAAACCUAGCUGUCUGGAGACACACUGGAGAGGCGGAGCUUUCUCACAGCUGGUACAGAUGGGGAGUUUUAGAGAGAGUCAGAGGGUGGAGCUGUUUACUUCAGUCAUGAAGAAUCUUCUCCAGUAGACAGAUCUCCUCUCUGACUUUUCAUCAUGUUGUGUUUUUGUUUAAGCAGCAGGUUCUUCUGUGUGUUUCUGAUUCUUUCAGUUUUAACAGGAGACUCUCUGGAGAAUUUGAUAACAUCUCAUGGCUCUGUUAAACAUGUCAGAGAUGGUGAGGAUGUUACUCUGUCCUGUAACUACAGCGUUACUCCAUACACCCUGUUCUGGUAUCGGCAAAAUCCCAGAUCCCAACCAGACUUCCUCGUCUCCAUCUCUGAAUCUGGAGAUCCUGUUAAAGCUGAUCCAGCAGCACAGUUAACAGCUAAAGUGGAGAAAAACAGUAAAGUUCUGACCCUGAUCAUCUACCACACUGCUGUAUCAGACUCUGCUCUCUACUACUGCGCUCUGACGCCCACAGUGACAGGAAACCCACCAAACACUGUACUAAAACUUCUCUUGUGAAAUAAUUAGAAACACUCAGCAGGGGGCGCUGUUUCUCUUCUGCUUCUUCAAUUUCAGAUUUCUCACCAUU